rnacentral:rRNA from 1 species
GGCGGACGGGUGAGUAAUACAUAGGUAAUCUACCUUCGAGCUUGGGAUAACCCCGCGAAAGUGGGGCUAAUACCGGAUAAGACCACGUAACCAUGUUACGGGGUAAAAGGUGGCUUAUUUUUUAAAUGAGCUAUCACUUGAGGAUGAGCCUGUGGCCUAUCAGCUUGUUGGCGGGGUAAGAGCCCACCAAGGCUAUGACGGGUAACUGGUCUGAGAGGACGACCAGUCACACUGGGACUGAGACACGGCCCAGACUCCUACGGGAGGCAGCAGUGGGGAAUAUUGGGCAAUGGGCGAAAGCCUGACCCAGCGACGCCGCGUGGGCGAUGAAGGCCUUCGGGUUGUAAAGCCCUGUCAUGCGGAAAGAACGACCCUGAGACGCAUACUCUCAGGGAGUGACGGUACCGCA